CCCUUAGAUGUCCUGGGCCGCACGCGCGCUACACUGAUGCGUUCAACGAGUUCUUCCUUGGCCGAGAGGCCUGGGCAAUCUUUUGAACGCGCAUCGUGAUAGGGAUUGACACUUGCAAUUAUUUGUCAUGAACGAGGAAUUCCUAGUAAACGCAGAUCAUCAAUCUGCAUUGAUUACGUCCCUGCCCUUUGUACACACCGCCCGUCGCACCUACCGAUUGAAUGGUCCGGUGAAGCCUCGGGAUUGUGGCGAGUUUCCUUUAUUGGGAGUUUGUCGCGAGAACUUGUCUAAACCUUAUCAUUUAGAGGAAGGUGAAGUCGUAACA
rnacentral:rRNA from 1 species